AUUAAGCAUGACUAGAGAGUGGAGACUUUUGGACCUAACUCCAGACCUCUUAGGAGGGGAGAAGAACCAAAGACUGAAGUCACUGGUUAUCUGGCAGAGGAGUUACAAUCACUUCUGCAAAUAUACUGCUUGUUCCUAAACUAGCAAGGUGUAGCACCAACAGGCUGCCAAAGGAAGAGCACAGAAGGGCUUUGCAUGACAAUGAGACAUGUCUGCUCCCGGCAGCACCAAUCUACUUCAAGAGGAAGAUGGGCAUUGAAGAGGCUCCUUAUGGAGUUGGUUAGCCAUUUGGCCAAGAAACUGCUCUUGCCUAGACUGUUGCAUAAACUGGACAUGAAGAACCCUCAGAGAGAGGACUGUUAAACUUGCCUAAAGGUGAGAUGAUCCUUCAGGGCUCCUGAUUAAUGAAAGAGUCUGCAUGACAUUCUGCAGGAUACAUAUGAGUGACUGAACCAUCUUUGAAAUUUCCUGCUUCAUGGAAAUGUCUGCUGGAUACUAUGGGCAUGUAGGCUGAAAAUGGAUGCCCCAACAGUACAGAAUAACUCUGGGUGACUGUCCAGUCAGUGAGAUGUCUCUGUCAUUUCUAGAGUUUUGGAAGUUGCUUACUUCUUGUUUACUUAAUAUUAUAUCCUUCUAGAGUCUUUGAUGGAAUUGAAGAAUAGUUAUAGUUUUCCUUUGUUAUGAUAAAAGAUAAAAUAUAUUGUAACUGUAAUUCUUGCUUGAUAACUGUUUUGUUAUAUGUAAUUUUACUAUGUUAAAAUGAAAGCCUUUUUUGUUUAAACAGAAAAAGGGGAAAUGGUGUGGGAGGUUCUUCUAUGUGUUGCUUUCAUUGGCCUUUUGAUAGGACAGAACUUAGAUAGGUGGGGAAAAGAGAACUGAAUGCUGAAAGAAGGCAGAGAGAGAUGCCAUGGAGUUGCCAGAGUCAGACAUGCUGAAUCUUUCCCGGUAAGCCACGACCUCCUGGUAAUACACAGAUUAACAGAAAUGGGUUGAAUUAAGAUGUAAGAAUUAGCCAACAGGAGGCUAGAGCUAAUGGCCAGGUAGUGAUUUAAUUAAUACAUAUUUCUGUGUGAUUAUUUCGGGCAUAAGCUAGCCAGGUGGCUGGGACGACAAGCAGCCUGCCAGUCCCGGGUAUAAGCCAGUUGGGCGGUGGGAAGUGGCCCACUCCUCCUCAUUACUACACCAAGUGAUGCUAACUUUAUUGUGUAGACAAGACUUGAGUACCCAGUUAGACAAUCAGCACUCAUCCGGUAAAUAUAAAUGCUGUGGUGGAGUUCUGUAGUUGUGGUUAACACCUACACCUGUUAACUGAAAGGGAAGAUGGCUCUCAAAACUGCACAUGAGCCCUGUCUAAUCAGGCUCAGAAGACCUGAGGUUUCCUAGGAACGAGGGAAUUCUCCCUCAAGACUGUCAGACUCCUGAAUGUAAGUGCCAGCCUGCUUUAUAAAUUUCCGACUUGUCAGCCACCACAAUUGUAUUAGCCAACCCUUAAAGUAAAUCUCCUGGUAAGUGACAGGUAAUGUGUGGUAGACGACUGCCCAUGCUUCUCUGGAGAACCUUGACUAAUGCAUAGACAAUACAUAAACUAAUGGGCAUGACUGUUCCAUUAAAACUAUUUACAGUAACAGCUGGUGGAUAAGAUCUAGCCUGGAUUUUCCCGAACCGUAGUUGUAUCAUUAAUAAAAGAUAGCUGCUUUCAUUAAGCUCGUUUUAGUUUGAGAUUUAAAUUUUUAAUUAGGUAUGGAUGUGUGUGUCAGUAUGAGGGUUUGUGCAUGUGAAUUCAGGGCCCUCGAAGGCCCGAGGAGGGUAUCAGACACCCUGCAGCUAGAAGUACGGGCAGUUGUGAGACAUUGGAUGUGGAUACUGGGCACUCCAAGCUCUCUUAACCAUGGAGUCAUCUCUCUGGCUCCACAUUCUAGGGUUUAAACACUGCAAAAGGUGUGUCACACAUGUAGUGGAAAUUGUGCCCCCGAGUUGGAAAUCAUCCUUGCUAGAACAGACAGUCUGGAACAAGUAUGAGUGAAUGUGAGUGAUCUCUAAUGUUUUGGCAUUAUUUUCACAUGUUCUUAUGUUUUUAUUAUUACCUUUGGAGAUUAAAAUUUUCCUGCCAAAAAAAGCAGAAGUCAAUUAAAGGAACGUUUUAGAUAUUCAUUUAUUAAAUUUUGCAUGUUUUCAAUAAUAGUUGUUAAGGAAAAUUAAAAAAUUAUGAAAUAUUAAACACAAGAGUUACAAUUUUAGGCACAAAAGGAAUUCUUUUUUAUCAAAGAUGUACAAGACUUUCAUAACAUUUAUUGCAAAUAGGGAUCUUUAAUUUAGAAAAUGGGACCUACCUAUGAGUUUAUUUUUAUUAUUAUUUUUGUUAAUUUGAGUCAGAGUCUCAUAGCCCAGGCUGGCUAGGAACUCUGUAGCCCAGGCUGGCCUUGAACUUGUAAUCCUCCUGCCUCCGAUUCCUGAGUUCCAGUGCUGGGAUUACAGGUGUGCACCACCAUGACAGGCACUACCUAUAAAUUUAAAUAGUAGAUUGUCAAGUUAGUUGAUGACCCCAGAUUCCCUUCUCUAGCCUAGGGAUUAAUAACAUUUUCAUUUGAGAAGAAACUGGUAUCCCCCAAAAAGCACUCAUGGUAGAGAAACAGGUUUCUCAAAAGAUUAAGAUAAUCUAUAACUGAAAAUGAUCAAUUUGCAAAAAGCUAAUAGUAAUAAUGCCUUAUCUUCUCAGCAGUAAAGAACAUCUUUAUGAUUGCUUUUCACAUACGGGGGCUUCUACAAAGGUUAUAUGGUCCAACGAUGAAAAGAGAAAAGGUAACUUGAAAUGUAACUUCUGAAAGAGAAUUCUAAGUAAUCCAAUAUAUUGAACAAUUAAGCCUAAGGAUAAAGGACUGUAUGGCCAUGGCUAGAUUGACAUACAAGUCUAUAAAGCAGAGGGAUGAAGUCAGUAAAAGCCAGUGAGACACUGCCUUGGAGAAGUAAAGAGAUGGAAAUUAAUAAGAACGGUGUUGGCAAGAGUCAACUAAUUCAGAAUAAUUAGAAUAAGAGACACUAAUUCAGAAAGGAGCCACAGUCAGAGAGGAUAGAUUAUCAAAGACGGGCCAAUGGACAAAUGAAAGGGGAUUGAGUCUAGCUUGUUUAGAAGAGCUCUGAUUUCAGAUGCUAGCCUAUCCAAUUGUUUGCUCUGAUUAUCGUUUGGUAACAUACAGACACUAUUAUAUCUACUUAAAUCCAUAAUUUCAAGUGAAACAUAAAAUGUCUUUAACACAGCAAAAUUUCAGUAAUUAUUUGUUGACAACGAUAAAUUACUUAAAAAUACACAGUAGGGAGUAAAUCAAUCCCCCCCUCCCCCCAACCAUUCUCAAAGAAAAAACGUAUGUCAGUGGUUUUUAGAUGUUACCUAGCAUUAACUACAAACUGGAACCUGGAGCCUGAGCGAUGACUCAACAGGUAGAGUCACCUGCUGCCAAGCCUGAUGGCCUGAGUUCAAUCCCCAGGGCGCACAUGGUGGAGGACACCCACACCCAAAAGUCGCUCUCUGACCUCACACAUGCUCUCGGUGUGAGUGCCCUCGCCCAUACACACACUAAAUAAAUAAACAAAUCUAAACGUUCUUAAACAAUUAACAUCUGGAAUCUCUGUGAAAUAGAAAUCUGGUACCACACUCACCUCUCAUAAUAAAAUCCUCAGUACUGGGAGGAGACGAAGCCAUAAUCUGCCAAAACCCAUAUGCGAUCCUUGCCAGAUUUAGGGCUUCCAGAGAAAAGUUCCCACUACUAGGUUUGACUACUAUAACUCAGGGAAACACAGAACACGCUCAGAAAGAUGUUUAGGGAUCUAUACAAUGUUAAGUUCUAGAAAGGUACAGGGGUGGUUUACACAGGUAACUAUGAACAAUUAUGGAAUGCUUGCUAUGUUCUAAGAAUUGAUGAUGUAUCACCUCAGUUAAUCCUUUCAACAACACCUUGAAGUUUAGGCAGUAUUGUGGAUUUAGGUCUCUAAUCCACGGGAAGAAGCCCGGAUUAAGGAAUUCUUAGCAAAUUUAAACAAUUGCUGAAGAUAAAGGUAGUAAGAAGCAGGGCUGAGAUUUGAACCCAAGAAUUCUGAUUCUUAAGGGUGUUACACGGUCGAUCAAACCAUAAUGGAACAAUUAAUUUUCUUAAAAGGACAAAUUAAAAGUAAUCUGUAUUUAAUUAUAUUCCCUACCAGAUACUUUGUCUACAUUUCAACACCCUAAAAGGCUGAUGCGUGAGUGUCAACAAAAGGCAAACAAAAAUCCCCUGAAAUUUGUAGUAGCUAAAAUUUAUUAUAGUGAUGACCGCAGACCAAUGAAACAGGGAUGGUUGCCGACUGAUACUCCACUUUGUUCGUAUGAAAUGACAAAUCCAAAUCCAAAUACACACACACACACACAUACAUACAUACAUACAUAUGUGGCAUUUCACUUCGUGAAAUUUGGAUCCAAGGGAUUCUUUAAAAGAAAGAAAGAAACAAACAAAAAGCUAAAUCAAAUCAAACGUCACUCAUAAAAUUCCGUGUGUUCACCACGCUUCCAAGUUUCAGUAAGAAUUUACCGUCAAACAAUUGGUGCUUGGGACAUCGGUCAAACUCCCCAUCAUUUGCGGCUUUCCCACACUCCUUCGUAUUUAUUAGUUCUCAUUUACAUCUUAGUUUACCACAUUGAGAGCGGCUUUGAAAGUUUCCACUCAUAUACACCAGACUACGUCACAGAAUUUCCUCGGUCUUUCUACAUAAGUGAAUGUUUGCUGCAAAACCUGUAGCUGCGCUCUCAAAGCUUAACAGCCUAAUUUUAAGAUAGAAGUGACCGUAAAAAAUACUAAAAACUUAUCGACUCCAAGGAAACUACGAGAAAGGGACUGUCGGAAUCAAUCAGGAGGCUGUAGAUGGAGGGAGCGCUGUCAAACCCUACAAGGUGGGCAGGGACGCGCCAGGGGCGGCUCGAAGGGGAAGUGGGAGAAGGCAAGUGUUUGACUCGAUUCCGUCAACUGUCACUGCGCCACUUGCCAAGCGCAAAGAAACAAAAUCCACCCACGCAACCAGCCGGGCGGGACCCGGAGCGGCGGGCCUACCGGGGCCCGCGGCGGGCGCGGGAGCGAGGCGAGCACCGUGCCCCUCGCACCCCGGGCGGUGACCAGCCCGCCCGGCCUCCCGCGCCGCUCCCGGCGCCCGCACGCCCGCACGUCGCCGACCAGCCGCGGCC